rnacentral:tRNA from 1 species
CAAGUUAAUCUUAUUAGAUAAGAUCUUCGUUUACAUUGGAGGUUCAGAUUGUGCAAAUCAAUUUAACUUGA